UACGUAGGGGGCAAGCGUUGUCCGGAUUUAUUGGGCGUAAAGAGCGUGUAGGCGGCUUUACAGGUCCGUUGUGAAAACUCGAGGCUCAACCUCGAGACGCCGGUGGAAACCGUAAGGCUAGAGUCCGGAAGAGGAGAGUGGAAUUCCUGGUGUAGCGGUGAAAUGCGCAGAUAUCAGGAAGAACACCCGUGGCGAAGGCGGCACUCUGGGACGGUACUGACGCUGAGACGCGAAAGCGUGGGGAGCGAACAGG
rnacentral:rRNA from 1 species